rnacentral:rRNA from 1 species
UACGUAGGGGGCAAGCGUUGUCCGGAUUUAUUGGGCGUAAAGAGCGUGUAGGCGGCCAGGUAGGUCUGCUGUGAAAACUCGAGGCUUAACCUCGAGCUGUCGGCGGAAACCAUCUGGCUAGAGUCCGGAAGAGGAGAAUGGAAUUCCCGGUGUAGUGGUGAAAUGCGUAGAGAUCCGGAGGAACACCGAAGGCGAAGGCAGUGUCCUGGCUGGUGACUGACGCUGAGGUGCGAAAGCUAGGGGAGCGAACGGG